rnacentral:rRNA from 1 species
UGAGGAAUAUUGGUCAAUGGGAGGAAUCCUGAACCAGCCAUGCCGCGUGCAGGACGACGGCUCUACGAGUUGUAAACUGCUUUUGUACCGGGGUAAAAGUGCAUCUACGUGUAGAGUUUUUAAAGUACGGUACGAAUAAGGAUCGGCUAACUCCGUGCCAGCAGCCGCGGUAAUACGGAGGAUCCGAGCGUUAUCCGGAUUCAUUGGGUUUAAAGGGUGCGUAGGUUGUUUUAUAAGUUAGCGGUGAAAUACCGAUGCUCAACAUCGGGGCUGCCGCUAAUACUGUAGGACUAGAGAUCGGAUGCAGCAGGCGGAAUGUGUAGUGUAGCGGUGAAAUGCAUAGAUAUUACACAGAACACCGAUUGCGAAGGCAGCUUGCUAGGCCGGAUCUGACACUGAUGCACGAAAGCGUGGGGAUCGAACAGGAUUAGAUACCC